GAUGAACGCUGGCGGCGUGCCUAAUACAUGCAAGUCGAGCGAACAGAUGAGGAGCUUGCUCCUCUGACGUUAGCGGCGGACGGGUGAGUAACACGUGGAUAACCUACCUAUAAGACUGGGAUAACUUCGGGAAACCGGAGCUAAUACCGGAUAAUAUAUUGAACCGCAUGGUUCAAUAGUGAAAGACGGUUUUGCUGUCACUUAUAGAUGGAUCCGCGCCGCAUUAGCUAGUCGGUAAGGUAACGGCUUACCAAGGCAACGAUGCGUAGCCGACCUGAGAGGGUGAUCGGCCACACUGGAACUGGGACACGGUCCAGACUCCUACGGGAGGCAGCAGUAGGGAAUCUUCCGCAAUGGGCGAAAGCCUGACGGAGCAACGCCGCGUGAGUGAUGAAGGUCUUCGGAUCGUAAAACUCUGUUAUUAGGGAAGAACAAAUGUGUAAGUAACUAUGCACGUCUUGACGGUACCUAAUCAGAAGGCCACGGCUAACUACGUG
rnacentral:rRNA from 1 species